rnacentral:rRNA from 1 species
UAUGUGAUCGUCUCUCGCAUAUCAAUAAGCGGAGGAAAAGAAACUAACAAGGAUUCCCCUAGUAACGGCGAGUGAAGCGGGAAGAGCUCAAAUUUGAAAUCUUAAAGGGUUUCCCUUUACGAAUUGUAGUUUAAAGAAGUGUUUUCUGUUGAGGUUUUGGUAAAAGUUCUUUGGAAUAGGACAUCAUAGAGGGUGAGAAUCCCGUAUUUGACCUCUACUUUCAACUUUGUGAUACACUUUCAAAGAGUCGGAUUGUUUGGGAAUGCAGUCCAAAAUGGGUGGUAAAUUUCAUCUAAAGCUAAAUAUUGGCGAGAGACCGAUAGCGAACAAGUACCGUGAGGGAAAGAUGAAAAGAACUUUGAAAAGAGAGUUAAACAGUACGUGAAAUUGUCAAAAGGGAAGCGUUUGACACCAGUGUUGUUUUUCUGAAAAUCAAUUAAAGAACUGUUUAUGCUAAGUUGUUUAGACUUUAUCAGCUAACUGUUUAGUUUUGAGCUUUUCUUUAAUGCACUUUUCAGUUAACAAGUCAACAUCAAUUUCUUUUGCUGUAAAAAAGCUUGAGGAAGGUGGCUUGAGAUUCGUCUUAAGUGUUUAUAGCCUCUUGCCUAUGCAGUCGGAGAGAUUGAGGUCUGCAGCGUAGAUCCUUCGGGGCUAAAUGCAUUUGUGCUAAGUUAUAGCAUUUUAUAGACAACUUGUUGACUAUGAUUUGUCUUGUAGCUUACUCGCUUAUGUUAUUUUACCUACGCUUAGGAUGUUGACUGAUAUGUAGUCGUA